GUGAGAUAAACAAACUGCUUUUCUUUAUGAAUUACCUAACCUCGGGUAUUCCUUUAUAGCAAUGCAAAAUAGACUAAGACACUAACUGACUUUUAAAAUCUUUUAUAUAUGGGGCACAAGGGAUGGUUGACUUUUGUGUGUAGAUGGUCUGCUGAGAAGCUGAGAUCCUAGAGAAUUUGGCAGGAAAGAAAUAUGGGUUGUACUUUAUUUGUGGCUGGCAAAAUUUUAUUUAGCUGCCUUUGAGAUGCCUCUGGAUCUUGUGAGGACUGCUUUGCACCUCUUUGGAGAUGUCUCACGCAUUCUUAUUUAAGUCAUAACCUUAGUUAAGGGGUUUUGGUUUUGGUGAGUUAUUUGAAAGAUAACUUCGGGGGGGAAGUUUGAAAGCCAAAAAUAUUGGCUGUUUGUCCCAGCUAAAAUUUCAUCAUGAGAGAUUUAAAAUUUUUUUUUUUUUUUUAAAAAAAGCUCUAUGGUCAGAAGUCAGCUUAAUUAAAAGCUGAUAUUCAGACUAUAAUACUUUUUUAAAAAAUAAAAGUUCCUUCUACUUUUUCUCUUUUGGAUUCUGCUAGUGGGAUUUACUUUUCAGUCAACUGAAACCCCCUUUUAAUUAUGUGAUUGGUUAUUCUGUUUCCUUUUUAUCUUUUUCACAUGAUUUUUGCUAAGAAAAAUGUAAAUCUUCAUUGGCCCUUCUGGAAAGCUUAAAAUAUCCAAAUUGGUACAUCUAAGACUUGUUAUUUCAUUUUCUUUCACUUCUACUCCUCCUUCUUUUUUGCCAUCUUCAAUUCCACAUAAAGAAAUCUAGACAGGACUUCUAGCAGCUCUAAGACCCCUUAAGGAACACAGAAAAAGUGCCACACACCCCCUUUUCGGGGUCAUAUAUUUUUCUCAUGGAUCCCCAAGAGUUGUGGACAGGUUCCUCUCAGUUCUAAGGCUCUGCUGUUUUGCAUUAAAUUCCGUGAUCUCUCUAACUUCUGGGGGUACCAGGAAUUACUUCGUACUGUGAGAGAAAACUUAAUCUUUGUGUGUGUGAUAGCUAGUGGGUCACCAGCAAAGGCUGCAAUUCUGGGGGGUGGCUGAGAGCAGUUACAAUGGAUGGUUAUUACUGUAUGGGGCUAUUCAUUUGUUUGUGCAUUUAGAUCAGAAAAGUGAGGUUUGGAAACUUGGAGGCUAUGGCUACAUCACAUCAUCAAGGGAUAAGACUCCCAUGGGGGAUGAACUGAUCACAGAGUGGGCUGAUUGACAUUGGGUUACCUUUGCCGUGAGGUGCCGUGAGGUACCCUGUGGAAGUGUUGCACAGCUUGGUCCUGUGGCAUUUCCUUUUUUUUUUUAAGGUCCCAGGAUUCACUGUAAAAAAUGAGGUUCUUGAUUUCUGAGGAUCUAGACGAUUUGCCUUCCUACUGCUUCUGCUUUUCACUAUAUAAGUGAAAAGACCUCAAAAGCUGCAAAUGUUUUGUUUGCGCUAUUCAUUAAUGGGCUCUACCCUGAGGUCAGUGGUCCAGUUUUAAAAUGGAGACUAAAUUAAAAGCCACCUAUCUAACUAAAAUUGGUCUCCUUAUAAAAUCCUCUGGUGAUUCUCAAUGAUUUUGUGUUACCUUAGUAUUCAUUUUAAUUUUCCUCUAACAUACCCAAAUUCUUUCUUCAAAAAGCUUAAAUUCUCUCUUUGUGCAUUGAGAUGUAAAUUUGCAACCCUGGUUUCUCUAAAACUCAAUAAGCACUUCAACCAUGCGGGACAAAUAAACUUUAUUUAAAAAUAUUUUUUAUUUUUUAUUCUUUUAGAGACAGGGUCUCACUCUGUCACCCAGGCUGGAGUGCAAUGUUAUGAUCCUAGCUCAGGGUCACCUCAAAUUCCUGGGCUGAAACUAUCCUCCCACCUCAGCUUCCCAAGUAGCUGGGACUCCAGGCACACACCGCCAUGCCUAACUAAUUUCUUUAUUUUUUAUGUUUUAGUAUAGACGGGGUCUUGCCUUGUUGCCCAGGCUAGUAUUGAACUCCUGGCUUCAAGUGAACCCCCUCCUGCGUGAGGCAUUGCACCCAGCCCAGACAAUCUUUAACUUGUUUCAUUUACAGAGGCACAAAUUAAUCUAACUGUCCUUUUAAACUAGUGAGUUUUAUCUGUCUCAUGACUAAAAUUUUAAAAUAAAAGCAAAUAUAGUUUACAUAUUUUCCCUACCCAAAUCUUAUGUUGAAUUGUAAUCCCGAAUGUUGGAAUUGGGGCCUGCUGGGUGGUGUUCGGGUCAUGGGGGUAGAUCUCUCAUGGCUUGAUGCUGUCCUCAGGAUAGUGACUGAGUUUUCCUGUAAUCUAGUUGGUUAAAGUGUGUGGCACCUCCCCCACUCUCUCUCUUGCUCCUGCUUUGCCAUGUGAAAUGCCUGCUCCCAUUUUGCUCUCUGCCAUGAGUAAAAGCUUCCUGAGGCCUCACGAGAGGCUGAGCAGAUGCCAGCACUAUGCUUCCUGUACAGCCUGCAGAAUCAUGAGCCAAUGAAAUCUCUUUUCUUUAUAAAUUACCCAGUCUCAAGUAUUUCGUUAUAAAACAGCCUAGCAAAAAAGCUAUAAAAUCUUUAUUUGUGUUUGUAUAUUAUGUAUAAAUGUGUAUAUGUCUGUGUUUGUAUAUUGUCUACAUGGUACUGAGUUGACUUAUAAAUAAAUGAGUACUCAUAAAUUAAAUAAUCUCAAAAUUUUUAAAUUCAUAUGACUUUAGUAACCUUUGAUAUAAAAAGCAGAUUUUUAAAUUGUUGGUAAAAUAAAAUAGAAAUGUCUUCAGAGUUUUAGACUUCUUUAUCUUAAUCUACUGGUCAAACAAAUGUAUGUUGUUUCUGCUAAAUGUUUUAAGGUCAAAAAACUUGUUUCUGUGAUAUUUUUGAUAAUUGCUUGAUUUGUCUUUAAGCAUAUGUCUUUGGUUUUGAGCCUUUAGAUUCCAGAGUCUAGACAGGUGGUCAUGGUGAGGCUUCCACAGCACCUAGACCACCAGCUGCAGGGUAGAGUCAAGCCCGAUACAUCCUCCCUGGCCCAGCUCUGCCUCCUGGCCAUGCUGGAAGGGGAUAGAUCCUCCAUUAACUGUCUUCGCAGCUCUGUCAUUUGUCCUGGGCUUUGCAUUUGAUACAUAACAAUUAAAAUUGCUUUACUUCCUAGCUUUCUCACUCGAAAUUGGGGUUACUAGAGUUAAAAUUGUAGAUAAUAUAUGUAAUUAAAACUACUAGAUAUAAGAGAAAUAAUUCUAUAUAAAGAGUGUACAAAGAAUGUAGGAUGUGUUUUGGGUGAGGAAGGUUAUAAGAAAAACAUGAAGCCAUAUGCUGUGGCUCAUGCCUGUAAUCCCAGCACUUUGGGAGGCUGAGGCAGGAGGACUGCUUGAGCCCAGGAGUUCACGACUAGCCUGGGCAACAUAGGGAGACCCCAUUUCUACACACACACAACUUGAGAAUGUGGUUUUUGUUAAAGGAAAAGUAUUUUUUUUCUAGUUUAGAGGUUAUUUGAAGGCUCCUUUAAGUUGAAAGGAUAAAAAAGAAUGACAGGAAAAACUGAAUGGAUAUAAAAAAUUGGGGAAAGAAAGAGAAUUGAAAAAAUUGUGAGAGAUUAUAAAAUGUUCAUGCAAAUCUUUUCUGUAGUCAAAGCUGAUUGAGAUUAGAUGGAUUUGUUUAUAUUUUAUUAAAUUAACUUUAGUGUUAAUAAUACACUGAUGAAAAGUACAAUUUGGUUUUCUCUUUUGAACAAGAUUUUCAUGUAGUACUAAUAAGAAAUGGUAAAAUAUUUGUUCACCUUUUCAGUAAAAAAGGAAGAAGACUUUGCCUCAUGCUGUCUUUAUUAGGUCUUUUGAUUGUUUGGAAAACUUGAUCUCCUCUCUAUCAAAUAGUAAAGGGUUUUUUUUCACUUUUUGAAAUCUUUUAAUUAUCAUUUUGACUAAAUGAAUGACUAAUAUUUUAUAGUGACUUGUGAUCUUAUUUUGAUAUCAAGUGUUUUAAACCUUUAAUAUUUGACAAACAUCCCAAAAUCAAAUUUCAAAUUCUAAAUUAAGUGUUUUUUAAGCUUGAACUAAAUAUUUGGACAUUCCAAAAAGAGCCCCUGGAAGUCCAAGAGAGACAUAUUAGGCUUAUUUGGUAUGUUAAAAUUAUAUGGGAAGCAUUGUCAAAUAAAAAGUGAUGUCUAACUUUCUUUGAGUUAUAUUCAUAUGGAUAUGUUAUUAAUGUAUUCCAAAAUUGUAUGAGAUUCCUAAAAUAUUAUAUAUCUUGGUAUAUUCAGUAAAUUGCUUAAUUCUGAUGCUCUUUUUCUAAAAGCUCUCUGUUCAUUCUAAAGUGAUGUGUCUUCAAGGAAGUUCAUGGGAAAGACUGAUAGGACACAAUUGAAAACACUGGUUAUAUUACAAAAGCUUUGACUGGUAAUUUUGUGUCAUAUUUUCAAAUGUGACCAGGCUGCUUUGAGGAAUUGCAGUUUACUUUAAAGCCAACAGACUUGGAAAAAGACUGGCCGGGUACCAUAUCUACACUGUUCCCUUACAGGGUUCCUGACCUUGUGGCGUUUCUACCUCCAAGGGAAAAAGAUAACAAAUCUUUGGCUGACCAACUGAUGUUUAUCAGCAAUGCUUCCUCACAUCAAAUCUUUAUCAAAAUGAAGAAAUGUGAAAUGUGAUAUACAAAACAGUAUCACUUGGUUCAGAGCUCUAAAAUGGAGUCAAGAAGCCACUCUAUUACUACCUACACAACAUGAAACCCUGCAGGAAAAAAAAAAAGGAACAGGAACUUGCCUUGAACCUUUGAACUGGGCUAAACUACAAUGACCACAUCUUAGAAAGCAGCUGAAUUUCACCAGCACUGCAACUCCUGCAUAGCAACAACCAAUGUACCAUGGACUUAUGUACUAAGCCAGCCACCUCCACCAAUGAUAAUUCUUUCAAAACAACUUGUGCAAUCACUCUCGGCAUCCUUUGAAAAAUUCCUACUCUCCUUCCUGUCUUUGGAAAACAAUUUGGCUCUUAGCCAAAUCCGUGUCUCCCAAAUUGCAACUUUUAAGGCCUCAAAUGCCUAGUCUUACUGCAUUGCACUCUGGUGUUUUGCCCCUUCUUACUUGACAUAUUAUACUUACAUCUCCAUUUCUAGUUGUGUUGAUUUUUUUAUUUUUUUAUUUUUAUUUUUAUUUUUGGAUAGUGUCUCACUCUGUCACCCAGGCUGGAGUACAGUGAUGCUGUCAGGGCUCACUGCAGUCUUGACCACCUGGGUUCAAGUGAUCCUCCCGCCUCAGCCUCCCAUGUAGCUGGGACUACAGGCAUGCACCACCAUGCCUGGCUAGUUUUCUUACUUUUGGUAGACACAUGGUUUCACCAUGUUGCCCAGGCUGGUCACAAACUUCUGGGUUCAAGUGAUCCACCUGCCUUGGCCUCCCGAAGUGCUUGUAUUACAGGUGUAAGCCACUGUGCCUGGCCUUGUAUCAACUUUUUGAUAGUAUCUCUUGACAGAAUGUAAAUGUGAGUAAUACAGACUCAGCAUGGUAGAGAAAUGAUAUAUGAAGGAGUGGUAUUACAGAGACAGGAUAGAUUAUUCGAUAAAUUCGGCUCUGGGACAAUUGGAUAUCAAACCAUAUGCCCUAUUCAAAAAUCAGUUGUUGGUGGAUCAAAAUUUUAUUUUAAAACUUUAUUUUUUAAAUAAAUUUUUGUUUUAUUUUAUCAUAUAUAUGUGUGUGUGUGUAUAUAUAUAAGCAUCUGCAUGGAAUUUUUCCCAUCUUUUUAAGUGUUUGAGGGUACACAGUAGAUAUAUAUAUAUUUAUGGGGUACAUAAAAUAUUUUCUACAGGCAUGCGAUGCAAAAUAGUCACAUCAGAGUGAAUGGGGUAGCCAUCCCCCCAGGCACUUAUUCUUUGUAUUAUAAACAAUCCAAUUGUACUCUUUUAGUUAUUUUGAAAUAUAGAACUUAAUUAUUUUUGACUACAGUCACCCUGUAGUGGUAGCAAAAUACUAAGUCUUAUUCAUUCUUUCAAACUAUUUUUGUACCUUUUAACCAUGCCCAACUCCCGCCUGCCCAGGACCCCACUACCCUUUGCAGCCUCUGGUAGCCAUCCUUCUACUCUCUAUGUCCAUAAGUUCACCUGUUUUGAUUUUUAGUUCCCACAAAUAAGUGAGAACAUGCAAAAUUUUUCUUUCUCUGCCUGCCUUAUUUCACUUAACAUCAUGACCUCAAGUUCCAUCCAUGUUGUUGCCAAUUACAGGAUCUCAUUCCUUUUUUAUGGCUGCACAGUACUCCAUUGCUUAUAUGUGCCAUAUUUUCUUUAUCCAUUUAUCUGUUGAUGGAGACUUAGGUUGCUUCCAAAGCUUGACUGUUAUGAAUAGUGCUGCAAUAAACAUGGAGUGCAGAUAUAACCUUGAUACACUGAUUUCCAUUCUUUUGUGUAUAUACCCAGGGGUGGGUGUAUAUACCCAGAGUGAAAUUCCGUCUCGGAAAAAAAAAAAAAAAAAAAAAAAAAGAGUUCUUUUGUGACCUAAAUAUGGUCUAUCCUUGAGAAAAUCUAUGUGCUGAGGAAAGAUGGUGUAUUUUACAGAUGUU
rnacentral:lncRNA from 10 species